rnacentral:tRNA from 1 species
AUUUUAAUAGCUUAUUUAGAGCAUAAUAUUGAAGAUAUUAAGGAAGUUUUUUUUACUUUAAAAUAUU